CUUAGUGGCAGACGGGUGAGUAACAUGUAGGUAUCUACCCUUUGGCCUGGAAUAACACGAGGAAACUUGUGCUAAUACCGGAUAAGUCUUUACAGAGAAAGCUUUAUGCACCAUUGGAUGAGCCUGCACUAGAUUAGUUUGUUGGUGGGGUAAUGGCCUACCAAGACUGUGAUCUAUAGCUGAUUUGAGAGGAUGAUCAGCCACAUUGGGACUGAGACACGGCCCAAACUCCUACGGGAGGCAGCAGUGGGGAACCUUGCACAAUGGAGGAAACUCUGAUGCAGCGAUGCCGCGUGAGUGAAGAAGGCCUUUGGGUUGUAAAGCUCUUUCGUCGGGGAAGAAAAUGACUGUACCCGAAUAAGAAGGUCCGGCUAACUUCGUGCCAGCAGCCGCGGUAAUACGAAGGGACCUAGCGUAGUUCGGAAUUACUGGGCUUAAAGAGUUCGUAGGUGGUUGAAAUAGUUGGUGGUGAAAUCCCA
rnacentral:rRNA from 1 species